rnacentral:rRNA from 1 species
AGGAUUAGAUACCCUGGUAGUCCACGCCGUAAACGAUGUCGACUUGGAGGUUGUUCCCUUGAGGAGUGGCUUCCGGAGCUAACGCGUUAAGUCGACCGCCUGGGGAGUACGGCCGCAAGGUUAAAACUCAAAUGAAUUGACGGGGGCCCGCACAAGCGGUGGAGCAUGUGGUUUAAUUCGAUGCAACGCGAAGAACCUUACCUACUCUUGACAUCCAGAGAACUUAGCAGAGAUGCUUUGGUGCCUUCGGGAACUCUGAGACAGGUGCUGCAUGGCUGUCGUCAGCUCGUGUUGUGAAAUGUUGGGUUAAGUCCCGCAACGAGCGCAACCCUUAUCCUUUGUUGCCAGCGAUUCGGUCGGGAACUCAAAGGAGACUGCCGGUGAUAAACCGGAGGAAGGUGGGGAUGACGUCAAGUCAUCAUGGCCCUUACGAGUAGGGCUACACACGUGCUACAAUGGCGCAUACAAAGAGAAGCGACCUCGCGAGAGCAAGCGGACCUCAUAAAGUGCGUCGUAGUCCGGAUCGGAGUCUGCAACUCGACUCCGUGAAGUCGGAAUCGCUAGUAAUCGUGGAUCAGAAUGCCACGGUGAAUACGUUCCCGGGCCUUGUACACACCGCCCGUCACACCAUGGGAGUGGGUUGCAAAAGAAGUAGGUAGCUUAACCUUCGGGAGGGCGCUUACCACUUUGUGAUUCAUGACUGGGGUGAAGUCGUAACAAGGUAAC